AUGGCAUGGGCGUGGCCAUUUCUGAUGAACCCUCCUUGGAGAACGUUCCUCCUCUGGAAGAUGGUCGUGAGGAAACCAGCUCACUUAUAUUUGGGACUUUGGAAGCAGAGCUGGCCUCAGUCUGUUAACACUGAGAGCCCUGAUGCUAGCUGGGGCUGCAGGACUGCUAUCAAUGAGGUCUCAGGCUUCAGACCUCAAUUCCCACCUGGAAUGAGUGACGUAUCUGGAUCCACACAGCUCCAGAGGCUCCAAUCUGCCCAGGGACUUGGCGAUGAGUCACAGCAAGCUGACACCAUAGACAUGAAAGGAAUCAGCCUUGCAAUUUUGGCUGUGAUAAUGAGCACUAAGUAAAACUUGGAACUGCAUCAGAGACUGGCUGCCUUUGUCCAGUCCUUGCCCAUUGGGAUUCCAAUAAAAGGACCUUUGUCCAUAGCUCCUCCCCACGCCACCACACUGAGGUAGGGUGGAGGGCUCCUGGGAAGGAGCCUCAGUGGAAGAGGCUGACUCCAGAGGUGGGUCUAGGACGUACCUACGAGGAACUGUCCUGCAUCCUGGUCACCCAGGGUGCUGGCUAGGCCCCACAGGAGGCUGGGGCCUGUAAUGCUUCUCUCGCAGCACGGCAAUGGCCUCUGCCUGUUGGGUUCUGUAUGCCCAAUGAUGGUGAGCACUAGACUUGCAUGCACUAUUUAUAUCAAUGCUUGGAACAGCCUGAAAAGGCAGCAGUAUCCCCCAUUACAGAGGAAGAAAAGUAACUUACCUAAUGGCAAGGAAAAGUAACUUACCUAAUGGCAAGACUGAGAUUGAAGUCCAUAGGUUCAUCUCUACCAGUUAACCAGAUCAGAUUGUGAUCUCAGGAUGGAUGUGGUCCAAGACGGCUUCAAGUUUCUGACCACUGGUGGGGAUAGCAGGUGCAAGGUGGGUAUUAGUGGAGUUUUGCAGAAAGAGAGGGUAUACACAAGGCAGGCAGGGUUAAAGGGAACCAGCAAGAGUGGUGGCACCCUCAGAGGGGAGCGGAGUGGAGCGGAACCAUGGCUCCUGAGACUCAGAAAGAGAUGAAGUUGGAGGAAGGGUCAGCUUCCCUGAAGAGUUGUGGCCUGCAGGACUGGGAGGAGAAGGCACAGCAAAAACCCUAGAAUGGCUGGGCAGCCAGGACUCUUGAGUAGACCCCAGCCCCGAGGUCCAGGGAGAAGACCCAGAGGUUUGUGGUCUGGGCAUAGGACAUAGAUCAGGGUGGGACAGCGUGGAGAGCCAGAGAGUUUGACAGACAAGUAGAAUGGGUUCCAUGUAGGCUGCCUCUAGCACUCACUGAGGGGCAG
rnacentral:lncRNA from 1 species